GGUUAAGCGACUAAGCGUACACGGUGGAUGCCCUGGCAGUCAGAGGCGAUGAAGGACGUGCUAAUCUGCGAAAAGCGUCGGUAAGGUGAUAUGAACCGUUAUAACCGGCGAUGUCCGAAUGGGGAAACCCAGUGCAAUUCGUUGCACUAUCGUUAACUGAAUACAUAGGUUAACGAGGCGAACCGGGGGAACUGAAACAUCUAAGUACCCCGAGGAAAAGAAAUCAACCGAGAUUCCCCCAGUAGCGGCGAGCGAACGGGGAGCAGCCCAGAGUCUGAAUCAGCUUGUGUGUUAGUGGAACGGUCUGGAAAGUCCGACGGUACAGGGUGAUAGUCCCGUACACCAAAAUGCACAGGUUGUGAACUCGAAGAGUAGGGCGGGACACGUGGUAUCCUGUCUGAAUAUGGGGGACCAUCCUCCAAGGCUAAAUACUCCUGACUGACCGAUAGUGAACCAGUACCGUGAGGGAAAGGCGAAAAGAACCCCGGCGAGGGGAGUGAAAAAGAACCUGAAACCGUGUACGUACAAGCAGUGGGAGCACCUUCGGGUGUGACUGCGUACCUUUUGUAUAAUGGGUCAGCGACUUAUAUUCUGUAGCAAGGUUAACCGUAUAGGGGAGCCGCAGGGAAACCGAGUCUUAACUGGGCGUUAAGUUGCAGGGUAUAGACCCGAAACCCGGUGAUCUAGCCAUGGGCAGGUUGAAGGUUGGGUAACACUAACUGGAGGACCGAACCGACUAAUGUUGAAAAAUUAGCGGAUGACUUGUGGCUGGGGGUGAAAGGCCAAUCAAACCGGGAGAUAGCUGGUUCUCCCCGAAAGCUAUUUAGGUAGCGCCUCGUGAACUCAUCUUCGGGGGUAGAGCACUGUUUCGGCUAGGGGGUCAUCCCGACUUACCAACCCGAUGCAAACUACGAAUACCGAAGAAUGUUAUCACGGGAGACACACGGCGGGUGCUAACGUCCGUCGUGAAGAGGGAAACAACCCAGACCGCCAGCUAAGGUCCCAAAGUCAUGGUUAAGUGGGAAACGAUGUGGGAAGGCACAGACAGCCAGGAUGUUGGCUUAGAAGCAGCCAUCAUUUAAAGAAAGCGUAAUAGCUCACUGGUCGAGUCGGCCUGCGCGGAAGAUGUAACGGGGCUAAACCAUGCACCGAAGCUGCGGCAGCGACACUAUGUGUUGUUGGGUAGGGGAGCGUUCUGUAAGCCUGCGAAGGUGACCUGUGAGGGUUGCUGGAGGUAUCAGAAGUGCGAAUGCUGACAUAAGUAACGAUAAAGCGGGUGAAAAGCCCGCUCGCCGGAAGACCAAGGGUUCCUGUCCAACGUUAAUCGGGGCAGGGUGAGUCGACCCCUAAGGCGAGGCCGAAAGGCGUAGUCGAUGGGAAACAGGUUAAUAUUCCUGUACUUGGUGUUACUGCGAAGGGGGACGGAGAAGGCUAUGUUAGCCGGGCGACGGUUGUCCCGGUUUAAGCAUGUAGGCUGAUUGUCCAGGCAAAUCCGGAUAAUCAAGGCUGAGGUGUGAUGACGAGGCACUACGGUGCUGAAGUAACAAAUGCCCUGCUUCCAGGAAAAGCCUCUAAGCAUCAGGUAACAUCAAAUCGUACCCCAAACCGACACAGGUGGUCAGGUAGAGAAUACCAAGGCGCUUGAGAGAACUCGGGUGAAGGAACUAGGCAAAAUGGUGCCGUAACUUCGGGAGAAGGCACGCUGGUGUGUAGGUGAAGCCCCUGCGGGUGGAGCUGAGACCAGUCGAAGAUACCAGCUGGCUGCAACUGUUUAUUAAAAACACAGCACUGUGCAAACACGAAAGUGGACGUAUACGGUGUGACGCCUGCCCGGUGCCGGAAGGUUAAUUGAUGGGGUUAUCCGUAAGGAGAAGCUCUUGAUCGAAGCCCCGGUAAACGGCGGCCGUAACUAUAACGGUCCUAAGGUAGCGAAAUUCCUUGUCGGGUAAGUUCCGACCUGCACGAAUGGCGUAAUGAUGGCCAGGCUGUCUCCACCCGAGACUCAGUGAAAUUGAACUCGCUGUGAAGAUGCAGUGUACCCGCGGCAAGACGGAAAGACCCCGUGAACCUUUACUAUAGCUUGACACUGAACAUUGAGCCUUGAUGUGUAGGAUAGGUGGGAGGCUUUGAAGCGUGGACGCCAGUCUGCGUGGAGCCAACCUUGAAAUACCACCCUUUAAUGUUUGAUGUUCUAACGUUGGCCCCUGACCGGGGUUGCGGACAGUGUCUGGUGGGUAGUUUGACUGGGGCGGUCUCCUCCCAAAGCGUAACGGAGGAGCACGAAGGUUAGCUAAUCCUGGUCGGACAUCAGGAGGUUAGUGCAAUGGCAUAAGCUAGCUUGACUGCGAGCGUGACGGCGCGAGCAGGUGCGAAAGCAGGUCAUAGUGAUCCGGUGGUUCUGAAUGGAAGGGCCAUCGCUCAACGGAUAAAAGGUACUCCGGGGAUAACAGGCUGAUACCGCCCAAGAGUUCAUAUCGACGGCGGUGUUUGGCACCUCGAUGUCGGCUCAUCACAUCCUGGGGCUGAAGUAGGUCCCAAGGGUAUGGCUGUUCGCCAUUUAAAGUGGUACGCGAGCUGGGUUUAGAACGUCGUGAGACAGUUCGGUCCCUAUCUGCCGUGGGCGCUGGAGAAUUGAGGGGGGCUGCUCCUAGUACGAGAGGACCGGAGUGGACGCAUCACUGGUGUUCGGGUUGUCAUGCCAAUGGCACUGCCCGGUAGCUAAAUGCGGAAGAGAUAAGUGCUGAAAGCAUCUAAGCACGAAACUUGCCCCGAGAUGAGUUCUCCCUGAGACUUUAAGUCUCCUGAAGGAACGUUGAAGACGACGACGUUGAUAGGCCGGGUGUGUAAGCGCAGCGAUGCGUUGAGCUAACCGGUACUAAUGAACCGUGAGGCUUAACCUU
rnacentral:rRNA from 1 species